CGUAGAUGUGAAAGACCCGGGCGUCAACCUCCGGAAUAGCAUUGUAAACUAGGCAGACUAGAGUACUGUAGAGGGGGGUAGGAAGUUUCAGGUGUAGCGGUGAAAUGCGUAGAGAUCUGAAGGAAUACCGGUGGCGAAGGCGGCCCCCUCGGACAGAUACUGACACUCAGAUGCGAAAGCGUGGGGAGCAAACAGGAUUAGAUACCCUGGUAG
rnacentral:rRNA from 1 species